GAGACACGAGGAAAUCAAGUCAAAAUCAACCGAUUAUCUUAGACCCUUUUGCACAUGGACAUUUGAGAGCACUCUACUCUUUAGUCUGUUGGAACAAAGUUAUGAUGUUUCCGUUUCACACAAGAAAUCAAUUGCAAGAAGAUCAUGACAGCAGCUUGUCAUGUAAGGCGUUUCAAGCCAAAGGACGGAUUCACUCCAAGAUCAUGCUGUGCAAGCAGCACAAAUUCAGAGAGCCUCAAGGAAAUCAAGGCAAAAAUGUACUGGCCAUACAAACCUCUGUUCCUCUCUCACGUAAUUGCAUAGUUGAUUGUGCGUCACAGCAUCAACCCUUGCACCUUCUAUUGCUGACAUAUACUUGUGAGUGCAAGACUUGUCAAUGAGCACCUGGCAGCUGUUCUCUCCCUGGCAGUGAGUUCAGUCUGCUGCAAC